rnacentral:rRNA from 1 species
GCUUGUCUCAAAGAUUAAGCCAUGCAUGUCUAAGUACAAGCCUCAGUAAGGUGAAACCGCGAAUGGCUCAUUAAAUCACACCUAAUCUACUGGAAAGUUACUAGUUACUUGGAUAACUGUGGUAAUUCUAGAGCUAAUACAUGCAUCAAGACCCAACUUCAUGGAAGGGUCGUGUUUAUUAGAUACAGAACCAACCCAGGUUCGUCCUGGUUUUGUGGUGAUUCAUGAUAACUGAAUGAAUCGUAUGGCAUCCGCUGGCGAUAAAUCAUUCAAGUUUCUGACCUAUCAGCUUCCGACGGUAGGGUAUUGGCCUACCGUGGCAAUGACGGGUAACGGAGAAUUAGGGUUCGAUUCCGGAGAGGGAGCCUGAGAAACGGCUACCACAUCUAAGGAAGGCAGCAGG